UACAGAGGUCCCGAGCGUUGCUCGGAUUCACUGGGCGUAAAGGGUGCGUAGGUGGCUUUGCAAGUCUGAUGUGAAAUCUCCGGGCUUAACCCGGAAAUGGCAUUAGAAACUGUGAGGCUUGAGGCUUGGAGGGGGAACUGGAAUUCUCGGUGUAGCAGUGAAAUGCGUAGAGAUCGAGAGGAACACCAGUGGCGAAGGCGAGUUCCUGGACAAAUCCUGACACUGAGGCACGAAAGCCGGGGGAGCAAACAGG
rnacentral:rRNA from 1 species